rnacentral:rRNA from 1 species
GACAGAGGCCUCGAGCGUUAGGCGGAAUCACUGGGCUUAAAGCGUGUGUAGGCGGACCCCUAAGUACCUUGUGAAAUCCCACGGCUCACCCGUGGAACCGCUGGGUAUACUGGGGGUCUUGGGCCACUCAGGGGCGACUGGAACAAGCGGUGGAGCGGUGAAAUGCGUAGAUAUCGGAAGGAACGCCGGUGGCGAAAGCGGCGUGCUGGACCCUUUCUGACGCUGAGGCGCGAAAGCCAGGGGAGCGAACGGG